rnacentral:rRNA from 1 species
CACGGGUGAGUAACACGUAUCCAACCUGCCGUCUACUCUUGGCCAGCCUUCUGAAAGGAAGAUUAAUCCAGGAUGGCAUCAUGAGUUCACAUGUCCGCAUGAUUAAAGGUAUUUUCCGGUAGACGAUGGGGAUGCGUUCCAUUAGAUAGUAGGCGGGGUAACGGCCCACCUAGUCAACGCUGGAUAGGGGUUCUGAGAGGAAGGUCCCCCACAUUGGAACUGAGACACGGUCCAA